UGGGGAAUAUUGCACAAUGGGGGAAACCCUGAUGCAGCGACGCCGCGUGGAGGAAGAAGGUCUUCGGACUGUAAACUCCUGUUGUUGAGGAAGAUAAUGACGGUACUCAACAAGGAAGUGACGGCUAACUACGUGCCAGCAGCCGCGGUAAAACGUAGGUCACAAGCGUUGUCCGGAAUUACUGGGUGUAAAGGGAGCGCAGGCGGGCGAUCAAGUUGGAAGUGAAAUCCAUGGGCUCAACCCAUGAACUGCUUUCAAAACUGGUCGUCUUGAGUAGUGCAGAGGUAGGCGGAAUUCCCGGUGUAGCGGUGGAAUGCGUAGAUAUCGGGAGGAACACCAGUGGCGAAGGCGGCCUACUGGGCACCAACUGACGCUGAGGCUCGAAAGUGUGGGUAGCAAACAGGAUUAGAUACCCUGGUAGUCCACACCGUAAACGAUGAUUACUAGGUGUUGGGAGAUUGACCCUCUCAGUGCCGCAGUUAACACAAUAAGUAAUCCACCUGGGGAGUACGACCGCAAGGUUGAAACUCAAAGGAAUUGACGGGGGCCCGCACAAGCAGUGGAGUAUGUGGUUUAAUUCGACGCAACGCGAAGAACCUUACCAAGUCUUGACAUCCCUUGACGAUGCUGGAAACAGUAUUUCUCUUCGGAGCAAGGAGACAGGUGGUGCAUGGUUGUCGUCAGCUCGUGUCGUGAGAUGUUGGGUUAAGUCCCGCAACGAGCGCAACCCUUAUGGUCAGUUACUACGCAAGAGGACUCUGGCCAGACUGCCGUUGACAAAACGGAGGAAGGUGGGGAUGACGUCAAAUCAUCAUGCCCUUUAUGACUUGGGCUACACACGUACUACAAUGGCGUUAAACAAAGAGAAGCAAGACCGCGAGGUGGAGCAAAACUCAGAAACAACGUCCCAGUUCGGACUGCAGGCUGCAACUCGCCUGCACGAAGUCGGAAUUGCUAGUAAUCGUGGAUCAGCAUGCCACGGUGAAUACGUUCCC
rnacentral:rRNA from 1 species